rnacentral:rRNA from 1 species
AGAAUCAACGCUGGCGGCGUGCCUCAGACAUGCAAGUCGAACGCGAAAGUCCCCUUCGGGGGGCAAGUAGAGUGGCGCACGGGUGAGUAACACGUAGGUAAUCUACCUUUGGAUGGGGAAUAACAAUCGGAAACGAUUGCUAAUACCGCAUAAUGCAGCGGCACCUAAUGGUGACAGUUGUUAAAGCGGGGGAUCGAAAGACCUCGCGUCUAAAGAGGAGCCUGCGGCGGAUUAGCUAGUUGGUAAGGUAAUGGCUUACCAAGGCUACGAUCCGUAACC